UUUAUGGAGAGUUUGAUCCUGGCUCAGGAUGAACGCUGGCGGCGUGCCUAAUACAUGCAAGUCGAGCGAACGGACGAGAAGCUUGCUUCUCUGAUGUUAGCGGCGGACGGGUGAGUAACACGUGGAUAACCUACCUAUAAGACUGGGAUAACUUCGGGAAACCGGAGCUAAUACCGGAUAAUAUUUUGAACCGCAUGGUUCAAAAGUGAAAGACGGUCUUGCUGUCACUUAUAGAUGGAUCCGCGCUGCAUUAGCUAGUUGGUAAGGUAACGGCUUACCAAGGCAACGAUGCAUAGCCGACCUGAGAGGGUGAUCGGCCACACUGGAACUGAGACACGGUCCAGACUCCUACGGGAGGCAGCAGUAGGGAAUCUUCCGCAAUGGGCGAAAGCCUGACGGAGCAACGCCGCGUGAGUGAUGAAGGUCUUCGGAUCGUAAAACUCUGUUAUUAGGGAAGAAUAUAUGUGUAAGUAACUGUGCACAUCUUGACGGUACCUAAUCAGAAAGCCACGGCUAACUACGUGCCAGCAGCCGCGGUAAUACGUAGGUGGCAAGCGUUAUCCGGAAUUAUUGGGCGUAAAGCGCGCGUAGGCGGUUUUUUAAGUCUGAUGUGAAAGCCCACGGCUCAACCGUGGAGGGUCAUUGGAAACUGGAAAACUUGAGUGCAGAAGAGGAAAGUGGAAUUCCAUGUGUAGCGGUGAAAUGCGCAGAGAUAUGGAGGAACACCAGUGGCGAAGGCGACUUUCUGGUCUGUAACUGACGCUGAUGUGCGAAAGCGUGGGGAUCAAACAGGAUUAGAUACCCUGGUAGUCCACGCCGUAAACGAUGAGUGCUAAGUGUUAGGGGGUUUCCGCCCCUUAGUGCUGCAGCUAACGCAUUAAGCACUCCGCCUGGGGAGUACGACCGCAAGGUUGAAACUCAAAGGAAUUGACGGGGACCCGCACAAGCGGUGGAGCAUGUGGUUUAAUUCGAAGCAACGCGAAGAACCUUACCAAAUCUUGACAUCCUUUGACAACUCUAGAGAUAGAGCCUUCCCCUUCGGGGGGCAAAGUGACAGGUGGUGCAUGGUUGUCGUCAGCUCGUGUCGUGAGAUGUUGGGUUAAGUCCCGCAACGAGCGCAACCCUUAAGCUUAGUUGCCAUCAUUAAGUUGGGCACUCUAAGUUGACUGCCGGUGACAAACCGGAGGAAGGUGGGGAUGACGUCAAAUCAUCAUGCCCCUUAUGAUUUGGGCUACACACGUGCUACAAUGGACAAUACAAAGGGCAGCGAAACCGCGAGGUCAAGCAAAUCCCAUAAAGUUGUUCUCAGUUCGGAUUGUAGUCUGCAACUCGACUACAUGAAGCUGGAAUCGCUAGUAAUCGUAGAUCAGCAUGCUACGGUGAAUACGUUCCCGGGUCUUGUACACACCGCCCGUCACACCACGAGAGUUUGUAACACCCGAAGCCGGUGGAGUAACCUUUUAGGAGCUAGCCGUCGAAGGUGGGACAAAUGAUUGGGGUGAAGUCGUAACAAGGUAGCCGUAUCGGAAGGUGCGGCUGGAUCACCUCCUUU
rnacentral:rRNA from 1 species